rnacentral:rRNA from 1 species
GCGGCAAGCCUAACACAUGCAAGUCGAGCGGCAGCGGGAGGAAGCUUGCUUCCUUGCCGGCGAGCGGCGGACGGUUGAGUAAGGUAUGGGGAUCUGGCCGAAGGCGGGGGAUAACCACUGGAAACGGUGGCUAAUACCGCAUAAUCUCUAAGGAGCAAAGUGGGGGACCGUUCUGGCCUCACACCUUCGGAUGAACCCAUAUGAGAUUAGCUAGUAGGUGGGGUAAUGGCUCACCUAGGCGACGAUCUCUAGCUGGUCUGAGAGGAUGAUCAGCCACACUGGGACUGAGACACGGCCCAGACUCCUACGGGAGGCAGCAGUGGGGAAUAUUGCACAAUGGGCGCAAGCCUGAUGCAGCCAUGCCGCGUGUAUGAAGAAGGCCUUCGGGUUGUAAAGUACUUUCAGUCGUGAGGAAGGUGUUAAGGUUAAUAACCUUAGCAAUUGACGUUAGCGACAGAAGAAGCACCGGCUAACUCCGUGCCAGCAGCCGCGGUAAUACGGAGGGUGCGAGCAUUAAUCGGAAUUACUGGGCGUAAAGGGCACGCAGGCGGUUAAUUAAGUUGGAUGUGAAAUCCCCGGGCUUAACCUGGGAAUGGCAUUCAAGACUGGUUAGCUAGAGUCUUGUAGAGGGGGGUAGAAUUCCAUGUGUAGCGGUGAAAUGCGUAGAGAUGUGGAGGAAUACCGGUGGCGAAGGCGGCCCCCUGGACAAGGACUGACGCUCAUGUGCGAAAGCGUGGGGAGCAAACAGGAUUAGAUACCCUGGUAGUCCACGCUGUAAACGAUGUCGAUUUGGAGGUUGUGGUCAUGAACUGUGGCCUCCGGAGCUAACGCGUUAAAUCGACCGCCUGGGGAGUACGGCCGCGAGGUUAAAACUCAAAUGAAUUGACGGGGGCCCGCACAAGCGGUGGAGCAUGUGGUUUAAUUCGAUGCAACGCGAAGAACCUUACCUACUCUUGACAUCCAGCGAAUCCUUUAGAGAUAGAGGAGUGCCUUCGGGAACGCUGAGACAGGUGCUGCAUGGCUGUCGUCAGCUCGUGUUGAGAAAUGUUGGGUUAAG